rnacentral:rRNA from 1 species
AUGGUGAAGGAGAAUACAGCAGCUCUGGAGCGGGCAAAGAAGGCGAUGGCGAGGUCAAAGGGGAAGGCGACGAGCCGAGGCGGAUCUUCCUCGCGGACUGGCCUGUCGAAGGGUUGGAUCCAGGGCGACUGGAUCCACUCGAGGAUCUCCCAAGAAGACCUCGAUGACCUGGCCGAGGGAGGGUUGAUCCCCUAUGACUCGGCGCGGCUUCCGGGGAAGGAAUCCGAGCCGCAACCCCGGGAGGGUGAGCGUGUUCUUCUUGCCACCCACGUCGACCGUGGGUUUUCCUUGCCUCCUCAUCCUUUCUUCCGAGGGUUUCUGAACUUCUUUGGGGCUCAACUCCACCAUUUUACCCCCAACUCAAUUGUUUAUCUUGCCGCGUUCAUUUCCUUGUGUGAGAACUUCUUGGGUUGUCGACCUCACUGGGGUCUUUUCAAGCAUAUUUUCACUUGUCGCUCCCAGACAGUGAAAAAGGCUAAUCCGAGUGACGAGAGGACCCAAGUGAUCCAGAUGUGUGGGGGUCUUGGCAUCCAGACGAGGGGAAAAAGCUCCUUUCCGGCCAUGAUUCUUCCCGAUUCAGUUCGCGGAUGGCAGUCGACCUGGUUCUACUGCAAAGACCAGUCGACGCCAGGGCAAUCGACUGGCCUCCCUCCCUUUACCAUGGACCGAGUGGAAAAACCCUCCCCUUUGAAGGUGCUCCUGGAGGAGAAGGCGCACGUGAAGGUGUUGGUCAACUGA